GGUUGGCUUAGAAGCAGCCAUCCUUUAAAGAAAGCGUAAUAGCUCACUGAUCUAAACAAGACGUCUUGCGCCGAAGAUGUAACGGGGCUAAAGCCAUAUACCGAAGUUGCGGAUUUACACGUUAAAGUGUAAGUGGUAGCGGAGCGUUCUGUAAGCCUGCGAAGGUGUACCGUAAGGUAUGCUGGAGGUAUCAGAAGUGAGAAUGCUGACAUGAGUAGCGAAAAGAAGAGUGAGAGACUCUUCCGCUGAAAGUCCAAGGUUUCCUGCGUAAAGCUAAUCUGCGCAGGGUUAGUCGGUCCCUAAGGCGAGGCAGAGAUGCGUAGUCGAUGGCAAUCAGGUUAAUAUUCCUGAACCGGCCCGGAAGUGACGGAUUGAGUAAAUUGUAAGUUCUUAUUGGAUUGAGCUUGCAGUGAAUCAGUCCCAGGAAAUAGCCCGGGUUAAGACCGUACCCGAAACCGACACAGGUGGACAGGUAGAGAAUACCAAAGCGCUUGAGAGAACUAUGUUGAAGGAACUAGGCAAAAUACUUGCGUAACUUCGGGAUAAGCAAGCCCCAUUUUAGGGCAACCUAAGGUGGGGGGCACAUACUAGGGAGUAGCGACUGUUUACUAAAAACACAGGACUCUGCUAAAUUGAAAGAUGAAGUAUAGGGUCUGACGCCUGCCCGGUGCUGGAAGGUUAAGGAGAGAUGUGCAAGCAUUGAACUGAAGCCCCAGUAAACGGCGGCCGUAACUAUAACGGUCCUAAGGUAGCGAAAUUCCUUGUCGGGUAAGUUCCGACCUGCACGAAUGGCGUAACGACUUCCCCGCUGUCUCCAACAUAGGCUCAGCGAAAUUGAACUCUGAGUUAAGAUGCUCAGUACCCGCGGUUAGACGGAAAGACCCCGUGAACCUUUACUAUAGCUUUGCAGUGGUAUUAGGUAACAAAUGUGUAGAAUAGGUGGGAUGCUAUGAAGCUACGACGCCAGUUGUAGUGGAGCAGACUUUGAAAUACCACCCUUUUGUUGUUUGAUAUCUAACCUGCUCCCGUUAUCCGGGAGAGGGACCCUGCAUGGUGGGUAGUUUGACUGGGGCGGUCGCCUCCCAAAGAGUAACGGAGGCGCGCAAAGGUUGGCUCAGAUUGGUCAGAAAUCAAUCGUCGAGUGCAAUGGCAUAAGCCAGCCUGACUGCGAGAGAGACAUUUCGAGCAGAUACGAAAGCUGUCUCUUAUACACAUCUCCGA
rnacentral:rRNA from 1 species